rnacentral:rRNA from 1 species
GACGAACGCUGGCGGCGUGCUUACCACAUGCACGUCGAGCGGAAAGGCUCCUUCGGGGGUACUCGAGCGGCGAACGGGUGAGUAACACGUGAGUAAUCUGCUCUGGACUCUGGGAUAGCCACCGGCAACGGUGAUUAAUACCGGAUAUGACCACUAUCCGCAUGGGUUGGUGGUGUAAAGUCUUUUCAGUUCAGGAUGUGCUCGCGGCGUAUCAGUUUGUUGGUGAGGUAAUGGCUCACCAGGGCUUUGACGGGUAGCCGGCCUGAGGGGUUGACCGGGCACACUGGGGCUGAGACGCGGCACAGACUCCUACGGGAGGCAGCAGUGGGGAAUAUUGGACAAUGGGCGGAAGCCUGGUCCAGCAACGCCGCGUGAGGGAUGACGGCCUUCGGGUUGUAAACCUCUUUCAGUACCGACGAAGCGAGAGUGACGGUAGGUACAGAAGAAGGACCGGCCAACUACGUGCCAGCCGCCGCCGUAAAAC